rnacentral:rRNA from 1 species
GUUAAAAAGCUCGUAGUUGGAUUUCUGCAUGGAAGGAGCGGUCCACCCAUUGGGCGAGUUACUGCUACCUUUGGUGCAUCUUUCUGAGGACGUGUUCUUCACUUAAUUGUGAGGGCGCAGGACUCAGAACAUUUACUUUGAGGAAAUGAGAGUGUUUCAAGCAGGCAAAUGCCUUGAAUACGUUAGCAUGGAAUAAUAGCAUCGGACCAUCGUCCAGCUGUUGGUGUCUGGGCGAAGGUAAAGGUGAAUAGGGAUUGUUGGGGGCAUUCGUAUUUAACUGUCAGAGGUGAAAUUCUUGGAUUUGUUGAAGACGGACCACUGCGAAAGCAUCUGCCAAAGAUGUUCUCAUUGAUCAAGAACGAAAGUUAGGUGAUCGAAGACGAUCAGAUACCGUCCUAGUCUUAACCAUAAACUAUGCCGACUGGAGAUAGGAAGCGUUUAUCUUACGACUCUUUCUGCAUCUUGAGAGAAAUCAAAGUCUUUGGGUUCCGGGGGGAGUAUGGUCGCAAGGCUGAAACUUAAAGGAAUUUGACGGAAGGGCACCACCCAGGAGUGGAGCCCUGCGGCUUAAUUUUGACUCAACACGGGGAAACUUUACCCAGGUCCGGACAUAGGUAGGAUUGACAGACUGAGAGCUCUUUUCUUGAUUCUAUGGGUGGUGGUGCAUGGCCGUUCUUAGUUGGUGGGAGUGAUUUGUCUGGUUAAUUCCGU